rnacentral:rRNA from 1 species
GUCCACGCUGUAAACGUUGAAUACUCGAUCUUAGCGAUACACAGUUAGGAUCCAAGCGAAAGCGUUAAGUAUUCCACCUGGGAAGUACGAUCGCAAGAUUGAAACUAAAAGGAAUUGACGGGGGCCCCGCACAAGCGGAGGAGCAUUUGGUUUAAUUCGAUGAUACGCGAGGAACCUUACCUGGGCUUGAAUGUGAGUGACCGAUGCCGAAAGGUGUCUUCCCUUCGGGGCACAAAACAAGGUGCUGCAUGGCUGUCGU